UCUUAAUGUGAUUAAGUACUUACUCUGAUUAUUGGAAAUAACAGCAUUUUUUGGUGCACACGUCAAUCCUAAAGAUCUGCUUUGAAAAACAUUUAAUAUUUGUGUGAAAUGUGAACAAAUUCUCAAAGUAGAAAAACACAACAUUUUAAUAUUUGUCUUUUUUUAUGCCAGGUGGUGUAUGGUCACUGUUGACUGUCGUCUCUUUAAUCCCGUGUUUCAUAUCCACCACUGCUGCUGAACCAAGAGCAGCAGUUAGUCCAGCUUAUGGUUGUGUGCUUUAUAAUGAAAUGUACAACUGCAGCGGUUCUCAGUAUCAAAUGUACUGCAACACAACAAUGCAUCAUUUCUACUACCAGAGAGACCAAGACCAACACCAGUACUACUGCAUGAGUAAUGACUGUAUCUGUGUUGGUAAUAAUGACACCUGUGCAUGCUACUAUAAUACUUCAUCCUGCUUCUGUGAGACCUUUAGCAAUAACACUACUGUCCCUACAGCAGUCAGGCCAGUUUUGGACUGUGAGCUUAAUAAUGACACGUACAUCUGCAUUGGUGCUCUACACCACAUGUAUUGCAACACAUCAGUGCAUUAUUUUAGCUACUACAAACAUCAGAACCAAAACCAAUAUCAGUACAGCUGCUGGAGUGAUGAAUGUUACUGCAUUUUUAAUAAGUACUCCUGUUGGUGCUACAGUCAAACUUCAUCCUCCUGCUUAUGUAAAAAUGAUGGCUAUAAUAUCACUAUCCCUUCAUCACGUAAUCCAGUCACAGGUCUUGACUGUCUGCUUUAUAACGACACGUACAUCUGCACUGGUGCUCAGUACCGCAUGUACUGCAAUACAAGAAUGCAUUCUGUCUACUUCUGGAGAUAUCAGAACCAAAACCAAUAUGAAUGCUGGAGUAAUAAUUGUAACUGCAUUGUUAAUGAGGACACCUGUACAUGCUACAGUAGCACUUUGUCCUCCUGCUUUUGUGAGACUUACGACAAUAGCAUUGCUCUCACUACAGCUAUCAGUCCAGUCUAUGACUGUGUGCUUCUUAAUGAUAUGUACAUCUGCACUGGUGCUCAGUACCGCAUGUACUGCAACACACAGAUGCACGAUUUCUCCUACCAGAGAUAUCAGUACCAAAACCAGUACCUGUGUGUGAAUAAUGACUGUGACUGCUUUGGUAAUAAGGACACCUGUACAUGCUACAGUAGCACUUUGUCCUCCUGCUUCUGUAAGACUUAUGGCAAUAGCAUUGCUCUCCCUACAGCAGUUAGCCCAGUCUAUGACUGUCUGAUUUAUAACGACACGUACAUCUGCACUGGUGCUCAGUAUCACAUGUACUGCAACACAAGAAUGCAUUAUUUCUACCACUGGGGAUAUCAGUACCAAAACCAAUAUGAAUAUAAUUAUGAAUGCUCUGGUAAUAACUGUUACUGUCAUGGUAAUAAGGACACUUGUGCAUGCUACAGUAACACUUUGUCCUCCUGUUUCUGUAAGACUUAUGGCAAUAUCACUGCUCUCAGUACAGCAGUUAGUCCAGUCUAUGACUGUGUGCUUUAUGACACGUCAUACAUCUGCACUGGUGCCCAGUACCACAUGUUCUGCAACACAAGAAUGCAUUAUUUCUACUACUGGAGAUAUCAUAACCAAAACCAAUAUGUAUGCUGGGGUGAUAACUGUUACUGCAUUGGUAAUGAGGACACCUGUACAUGCUACAGUAGCACUUCAUCCUCCUGCUUCUGUACAAAUAACAGCAGUAGCAUCACUAUCCCUGCAGCAGUUAGUCCAGUCUAUGACUGUGGACUUUAUAACAACACGUACAUCUGCACUGGUGCUCAGUACCGCAUGUUCUGCAAUACAAGAAUGCAUUAUUUCUACUACUGGAGAUAUAGUAACCAAAACCAGUAUGAAUGCUGGGGUAAUGACUGUUACUGCAUUGGUAAUAAGGACACCUGUACAUGCUACAGUAGCACUUUGUCCUCCUGCUUCUGUGAGACUAACAUCUUCACAACUAUUGCAGGUGAGUGUGUUUCUAGACCAGAAUGUGGAGUUUGAUUUUACUAUAUUCAUGUUGUAUUGAUGAAUUUCCCCAUUUCAGAUCUGAUUAUCGCACUGCCAGAUCAAUGCAGGGUAAGCUGAAUAUUUCUAUUUACACAGUGCACAGAGUCUUUCAGUUUUAUUUGUAAAGCUCAAUUGUGAUUUCAGAGUCAGACCUCAGAAGGGUGUCUUCAAAAUCUUCUUGAGCAGAUAGAGAACAGUGCAGCUCAAGAGCUCCCUGUGACUGUAAGUCUUCAAGAUAAAUAUGAAUAAAUAAUGAUUAACAUAUGAUUAACUAUAAUUA
ensembl:lncRNA